rnacentral:lncRNA from 1 species
GGGAAGCCCGCGGAAGGCGAGGUGCCUGGCCUGCCAUGUGGUCUCCUAGCAGGAGGAGCGAGAGAGCCCAGCAGCGAUACGGUGGUUUUCGACCCAGCUAGGGGCCAGGCCGUACGAUUGGGAGCCCGGGGCAGCCCCCCGCGCAGUCACCACGACGCGGCACCCGUGGACGGGCGUUGGCUCUGCGUGGUGGGCGGCUGGGACGGGUCUCGCCGCUUGGCCACAGUGACCGCACUGGACACAGAGCGCGGUGUGUGGGAGGCGUGGACAGGGACCCCUGGUGACUGCCCCCCCGCCGGCCUCAGUAGUCACACCUGCACCCGAAUCUCUGACCGAGAGCUGCAGGUGGCUGGCCGGGAGGGCGGUAUCCACACUCAGCGACGCUAUGGAAGCAUCUACACAUUAAGGCUGGACCCCAGCGCCCGCACCUAUUGGAGGAACCACCUGUUGCUCCUCAUUUGAUGGAACAGCUUGCAAGGCUUGUGAGCAGUGGGCAGGGGUCCCAGAAGGGGCCCCAUGGACUACGGCAUCACUCAUGUUCUGUGGUCGGGCCCUUUGCUGUGCUGUUUGGUGGAGAAACU